rnacentral:rRNA from 1 species
AGAUUCCCCCAGUAGCGGCGAGCGAACGGGGAGCAGCCCAGAGCCUGAAUCAGUGUGUGUGUUAGUGGAAGCGUCUGGAAAGGCGUGCGAUACAGGGUGACAGCCCCGUACACAAAAAUGCACAUGCUGUGAGCUCGAUGAGUAGGGCGGGACACGUGGUAUCCUGUCUGAAUAUGGGGGGACCAUCCUCCAAGGCUAAAUACUCCUGACUGACCGAUAGUGAACCAGUACCGUGAGGGAAAGGCGAAAAGAACCCCGGCGAGGGGAGUGAAAAAGAACCUGAAACCGUGUACGUACAAGCAGUGGGAGCACGCUUAGGCGUGUGACUGCGUACCUUUUGUAUAAUGGGUCAGCGACUUAUAUUCUGUAGCAAGGUUAACCGAAUAGGGGAGCCGAAGGGAAACCGAGUCUUAACUGGGCGUUAAGUUGCAGGGUAUAGACCCGAAACCCGGUGAUCUAGCCAUGGGCAGGUUGAAGGUUGGGUAACACUAACUGGAGGACCGAACCGACUAAUGUUGAAAAAUUAGCGGAUGACUUGUGGCUGGGGGUGAAAGGCCAAUCAAACCGGGAGAUAGCUGGUUCUCCCCGAAAGCUAUUUAGGUAGCGCCUCGUGAAUUCAUCUCCGGGGGUAGAGCACUGUUUCGGCAAGGGGGUCAUCCCGACUUACCAACCCGAUGCAAACUGCGAAUACCGGAGAAUGUUAUCACGGGAGACACACGGCGGGUGCUAACGUCCGUCGUGAAGAGGGAAACAACCCAGACCGCCAGCUAAGGUCCCAAAGUCAUGGUUAAGUGGGAAACGAUGUGGGAAGGCCCAGACAGCCAGGAUGUUGGCUUAGAAGCAGCCAUCAUUUAAAGAAAGCGUAAUAGCUCACUGGUCGAGUCGGCCUGCGCGGAAGAUGUAACGGGGCUAAACCAUGCACCGAAGCUGCGGCAGCGACGCUGAUGCGUUGUUGGGUAGGGGAGCGUUCUGUAAGCCUGCGAAGGUGUGCUGUGAGGCAUGCUGGAGGUAUCAGAAGUGCGAAUGCUGACAUAAGUAACGAUAAAGCGGGUGAAAAGCCCGCUCGCCGGAAGACCAAGGGUUCCUGUCCAACGUUAAUCGGGGCAGGGUGAGUCGACCCCUAAGGCGAGGCCGAAAGGCGUAGUCGAUGGGAAACAGGUUAAUAUUCCUGUACUUGGUGUUACUGCGAAGGGGGGACGGAGAAGGCUAUGU